UACGUAGGCAGCAAGCGUUGUUCGGAGUUACUGGGCGUAAAGGGUGUGUAGGCGGUUGUUUAAGUUUGGUGUGAAAUCUCCCGGCUCAACUGGGAGGGUGCGCCGAAUACUGAAUGACUUCGAGUGCGGGAGAGGAAAGUGGAAUUCCUGGUGUAGCGGUGAAAUGCGUAGAUAUCAGGAGGAACACCGGUGGUGUAGACGGCUUUCUGGACCGUAACUGACGCUGAGACACGAAAGCGUGGGGAGCGAACAGG
rnacentral:rRNA from 1 species